AACCGAGGCGUUGCAAAAUCUGCUGCAGGGGGAAGUAGAGGAGGACGGAAAUGUUUGUCCAUGCCAUUCAAACAACCAAACAAACAAACUUCAAGACAACUGAAUUGAAGAACGGACGCAGGAGGAGAAUGAUGGCACAGAACACCUAGGCCCUAACCUGAUGGAGAGGAGGAGACAUGGACCUAUAACUGCUUCAACAGAUCCUAUGCCAUGGGGACUUCAGAGACGGGGAUGACAGGAGUGGGCAGCCAGGCGUGUUGGUCCUGUGUCUCGGGCAGAGGCUGUGAUCAUGACUGGCAGUGGAGACAAAGCACUGAAGGGACGGGACAAUGAGGGCCAGGGAGAAGUGCUGCGACGGUAAUGCAUGUCACAUCAAUGAUGCCAUGUCGAAAACAAGGUCAUUUCCACUUCCCGUCUCCCAGCGUCUCGACUCGGGCUCCAAGUCCAAUUUUCACAGCUCUCAUUUCACCGUCGUCUUUCUCUGCCUCUCUAUUAACAAGUUCUUUUCCUCAAGUCCUUCCCUGUUCUCCCUACUUUAAUGUUCUUUCUACAAUAGACGCUAUUGAUCUUUCACUCCUGCCUCUGCUGCAGCAAACUUUCAACGGCUCACUUCGACAAUCUGGGAUUCAAAUGUUUCUACGCUGUACGUCUAUCUAUAAAAAUAAUAAACAAGUUCACUUUAAAACCUGUAUUUGUCAGAUUACCUACAGAUGGUUUGAGGAAAAUAUAUGAAUAAUAGUUAUUACCACCAGGAGCAGGAGCAGAACAACUUAAUCAUUUGUAAUUAUGUAAAUACAUGCAGAAGACAUUUCAGAUGAUCAACAUCAACUGUCUAUUUGAUAUAUCAGUAAAGAACAUUAUUUUACACUUGGCUGCAAAGUUUGCCUGUAGCAGGGCUGUCUUAGCUAAUGUUAGCUGUGGCGUCUGUGCUUUCGUUGUUAUGUUUUGCAUAGAAGUGAAGUUGCUCAACUAAUUUGUUUACUGAUAAUUGCCACCUGACAGAGCAAGUGAAACUUGCUCUUUCCGCUAACUAGCUUCUUCAACGGCGUCUGCAGGAUUAUUCUGUCCAUUGUAUUUUUUCUUUAUUCUUGUAAAAGUCAGAUGAAAGGUUACAUGACUGUUCACACUGAGGUUUCUUGUGACCUCUUGUCACACGCCGCAACAUUCAAAAUGGUAAAAAGAUGCUCCAACGUUCUGGGAGCAGGUGGGAAACUUCAUUGUUUCCUCUUGAAACUUAAUUUUACCAGAUCUACAAAUAUUUUGCAAUUCCUGUAUUGACUUUUAAGAGCAGCUUCCACUUGUUUGUUGCCUGCAGCAGUUUGGAUUGUAUCUCAUUUUAAAAGCACAAAGAUGUAAAACCAAACAGUUGUUUGUGUUUUUGGCUGGUUGGUGGUGCUGUAACAGUUUCCUGGCUGGUAGCAGGCUUUGUUUGCCAUUCUCAUUUGAAACUCACAGCCAUGCUAAGCUGGUCACUUUGCUGAGAUGCCUCCCAAGCUAAGCUGGUUUCCUCAGAGCUCACAAGAAAAUGUGGGAAUGGUAAUAACUGGAACGUCUUGAGUAUUUUUUUUUCUUUCUAAAUGAUCAGUAUCGAAGAGAAUAAUGAGAAUAAUGUUGGCUUUUAGUCUUAUUCCUACUGUACUCAUUCUCUAAAGUGGUAACUUUCUUUUUGAUACUUCAGCACUUUCAUAAGGAAAUACUUUGGCUGCAGAAAUAUUUUUCUUGUAUUCUUUGUAGUUUUAAUGGAGGAUCAAAUUGCCUGUGACACUCUGCUGGUGAUGAUCUGAAUUUUAUUGAGUUUCUCUGCUUCCAUACACUUCCAUUCUGAGUGGCAGGCAGUUGGCAUUAGACUGGGUGGGCAACACCAAAGGAUCCACACUCCCUCUGCUGCCGGCUGCUGCUCCACUGAGCUGAACACAGAAGCUUAGAAAGAAGGGAAACAGUUCUAAUCAUUGUCGGCACCAUCACCCACCACCCUUCCUUUUCCUGUCUGCCCCUUCCCGCCUCCUUCUGCUCAUUAAGAUGGGAGAGCUUCCCUGCAUACUGAUGCAUUGUUAAGCUCUCUUAAUUGAACUUGAGGAUUCUUAAUGUGGUAUCACUCAAAUUCUUAGCAUGUGUGCGCUCAGAUGCUCAGUCCAAACUGCCUUCACCUCCGCCGCCUCCACUGUUUAUCCAUUCAGUUUCUUUUUUCUUUUUCCUAGGAGGAGGAGAAAAUGGCUCUGUGGCAGA